rnacentral:rRNA from 1 species
AAAGCAGGGGAUCGUAAGACCUUGCGCUUUUGGAGCGGCCGAUGUCUGAUUAGCUAGUUGGUGGGGUAAUGGCCUACCAAGGCUUCGAUCAGUAGCUGGUCUGAGAGGACGGCCAGCCACACUGGGACUGAGACACGGCCCAGACUCCUACGGGAGGCAGCAGUGGGGAAUUUUGGACAAUGGGCGCAAGCCUGAUCCAGCCAUGCCGCGUGAGUGAAGAAGGCCUUCGGGUUGUAAAGCUCUUUCAGCCGGGAAGAAAAGGUUGCGACUAAUAAUCGCAAUUCAUGACGGUACCGAAACAAGAAGCACCGGCUAACUACGUGCCAGCAGCCGCGGUAAUACGUAGGGUGCGAGCGUUAAUCGGAAUUACUGGGCGUAAAGGGUGCGCAGGCGGUUUUGUAAGUCAGAUGUGAAAUCCCCGGGCUUAACCUGGGAACUGCGUUUGAAACUACAAAGCUAGA